rnacentral:rRNA from 1 species
GACGAACGCUGGCGGCGUGCUUAACACAUGCAAGUCGAACGAUGAAGCCGGAGCUUGCUCUGGUGAAUUAGUGGCGAACGGGUGAGUAACACGUGAGUAACCUGCCCUUGACUCUGGGAUAACUGCGGGAAACUGUAGCUAAUACCGGAUACGACCCUCGGAGGCAUCUCCUGGGGGUGGAAAGAAUUUCGGUCAAGGAUGGACUCGCGGCCUAUCAGCUAGUUGGUGAGGUAAAGGCUCACCAAGGCGACGACGGGUAGCCGGCCUGAGAGGGUGACCGGCAACACUGGGACUGAGACACGGCCCAGACUCCUACGGGAGGCAGCAGGGGGGAAUAUUGCACAAUGGGCGCAAGCCUGAUGCAGCAACGCCGCGUGAGGGAUGACGGCCUUCGGGUUGUAAACCUCUUUUAGCAGGGAAGAAGCGAAAGUGACGGUACCUGCAGAAAAAGCACCGGCUAACUACGUGCCAGCCGCCGCAGUAA